GGUCCUAUAGUGUAGUGGUCUAGCACGUCGGAUUCUGAUUCCGGAGACUCCAGUUCAAACCUGGAUAGGACCU